ACUUUGUUGAGUUUCGCGGUGUCGCUGUGCUUGGAAAGACAAUUUCCUUUUCAGCAGCACUGGUAUGGACUUUGGAUGAUCUUGCCUGCUUCUUCAUUUCUCUCUUUCUCAUGAAAGCCUUUCUCUUCUCGGCUGUCAGAAAUCUUGAAAGGUCAUACAAAAAGGCAUACGGAAAGAAGCCCAGCGAGAAGAGUUUUCCUGCUGAUGAAGACAGAAAAGGCACUGCAGCAGAUCCUGCUGGGACAGGUCCCAGGGAGAGAGCACGAGCGUUGAAACCUGCACCAGCAGCCCGGGCGAGGCGGCUCCUUGUGCUAG